CCCAGAGGUGAGGCAGGUGAAAGCAGGUGGAGCAGGUGGUCUGGAGCUGCAGUAUCCCCGCGGAAUCCCCCACCCGGGGCCACCUGUUGUUGGUAGAAUCCUGUCUCAGCCUUCUCUCCACCGGGAAGCUUUGUGUCAGAGGUCCAAGGUGGCAGUUACUAGUCACCUGUAACUAAAUAAGCCUCGAAGCCACUCCUGCAGGUUGGACAGCGAAGAAACAUCUAGAAAGCAAGGUUGGGAAGAAAACAAAGAUGAAGGCAGCCACUGGCACCUGCCUCAGAGCUCUGAGGAGCCUGAGAAACCCAGGGAGGCUCCAGAGGAUGAUGUGGCGACUGACGAGGAGUCCGCAGAGCCUGCAGUAGUCCCAGAACAACAACAAAAAACAAAAAUAAAAGGACAAGUCUUAUGGGAGGAUGCUCUUCAAAAGAUGUUGGAUCUCUUCCUUUCACUUCUGCAUCUCAGCCAGUGGCCUUCAGGGUCAAAGGUCAUGCCUGAUGAGCCAUGGGGCAGCCAGUGCUGAUGACAAGGAGAUGUGCAUUGGCCUGGAGCUCCUGCAGAAACAGGUUGAUACCGAAUAGAGCCGGCUCUAGGCCUGCUGGCUGUCCCCCAGCAUGGAGCUGUUGUAGAUGCAGCCUGCCUGCUGUCUACAAGCACAGAAGUUGAGCCCGGCAAGCCUGGGGUGGCAGACAUCGAGGGUGGAGAGGUAUGUGGCAGCAAGAAACUCAUAUAGAACCUGCCCCCAGAUGUCCUCCCUAGCUGCUGCAUCACCCUGACUCCCAGCAGCAGCAGAAUGUCCGAGACCCUGCAGUAAUCCAGUAUGUAUGUGCUUCGGAAACCAGAACCCUUAAACCAGACCAAUGGUUCAUUACAAAGACUAUUUGCAUGUAAAGCUGUUGGAGAAUUAAAAAAAAAAAAAACAACUGUGUGACACAUUGCCGUUUCCAAAGCCUCUGCAAGGAACGGAUAUGCGAUGGAGAGGUGAGAAAGAUGGAGGAACAGAGCCAUGAGUGUGUGGUGGAGAGAGGUGGAACUAGAGACUCGACAGCAGUGACAGGUGUGAGAGAAGAUGCAAGUGGACGGGGGCGGGGUGAUCAUGUUGUCGCUGAGUAGCACUGACAGGGUGGUUGUGCAGCAGCCCGGAGCUUGCGCUCACUCAGCCCCCAAAAGCCUGCCAAACUGCAAGCUCGCCCUGAUUCUGAGCAACGACAGGAUGUUCUACAUGAACAAUGGUUCAUUUUCUGGAUUGGACCUCCUCAGAAGACCUCUGUGGUCUGUGCUGUCUCUGGAGACCAUGUUGAUAUCUGUGGUCCCCUGUUAUAUUGAAGCCGAAGGGUCUUGUGAAUGCCUGUGGUCUGGGCUGCCACUGGAGGCCAUGUUGGCAUGACUGUCCUGUGGUGCCAUCUGAGGCUAGGUUGAUGUCCAUGAUCUGUGCUGCUGCAGUGGGCCAUGUCUGGGUCCAUGGUCCUGCCGCAGCCGGGGGUUGGGUUGAUGUCAUGUGCCGCUGCCUGGAGUCAUGCUAAUGUCCAUGAGGUGGGCUGCCUCCAGGGACUGUGCUGUUAUGUCCCGCAUUGAGCCAGAAGCCAUGAUGGUGCCUAUGGCCUGUGCUGCAGAAGAGAUCCGUGUUGAUGUACGUGGUGUACUGCCACCAGAGACCAUGCUGUGGCACAUGCUGACGUCAGAGACCAUGCGGAUGAUUGUGAUCCCUACUAUCACCAGAAACGAUGUGGAAGUUCAUGAUCCAUGUUCCCGCUGGCUUAUAGGGCAAGGAAUAGACAUUUAUAGUGGUAUCAAUGACUGUGGACUCACAGUUGAGAAAAAGGGCCAUAGAAGGCUUUAACCCCCUUUACCCCUCAUCUCCCCAAAAGUAACAGCCUAGACAGGGAACCAUUGAAGAGAACUUUUAGAAACUGUGAUAAAAAUGCUGAAGUAUAGCUCUCCAGAGUUGAUGGCUUUUUGUGAGGGUAUGGGUGGGAAGGACCCAGUUUUCUUUAAGGGGCUGGCCACUGGAAGUUUGAUCAUGCUUUAGUGAGUAUAUGGGCAACAAAAAUUGGACUUCUUCCUUUCCCUCUCCAUUCUCCUCCACCACCUCGUCCUCCUCUUCCUUUUCUUUCUUCCAGGAGUGAGUCCUCAAGGAUAGAGGGCAGACCUGGGAGGACUCCGUGAGUGUGAUGGGGUGCAUGAUAUGAAAUUUCCAGAUAAUCAAUAAAAAUGUUGUGUGGGGAACAAAAAAAGAAAGUAGAGGGAGACCUUAUGACAACCUCACGUAGUUCUCAGGCUACAAGGCCUGAGGGGCCUAUAGGGAGAGAGGAGUCCCGAGUGCUCUCGGGGGUCCUAAGCCCUUCCUCUGCCAACUGCCUCCCACCGUGGGGCCGUCUUUCUUCCUGGGCUGCAGGCAGAGCCGUGCAGCCUGCCCCGGGAGCAGAUGGGAGUGCCUGCAUAUCCCGCUACUGUUGUCACGAGGUGCUGUACAGACAGCAUACACACCGGGUGGUGUUAACAGUGAUAGGCUUAUUGUUAUUUACUUCAAAAUAAACUAAU